CCCUUAGGUGUUCUGGGCUGCACACGUGCUACACUGGCAGGUUCAGCGAGCUUCAUGCCCUGAUCUGAAAGGAAUGGGAAAUCUUUUCAAAACCUGCCGUGCUUGGGAUAGAUGUUUGCAAUUAUUCAUCUUCAACGAGGAUUGCCUUGUAAGCGCACGUCAUCAGCGUGCAUUGAAUACGACCCUGUAUUCUGUACACACCGCCCGUCGCUCCUACCGAUUGAAGUUUUCGGUGAGUUGACAGGAGGAUUUUUUUGAAACUGGUUCGCCAGUGGAUUUUAGAUCCAAAUGCCAACGAAUCGAUGGCUUUAGAGGAAGGAGAAGUCGUAACA
rnacentral:rRNA from 1 species